AGCUUUGCGCAGUGGCAGUAUCGUAGCCAAUGAGGUUUAUCCGAGACGCGAUUAUUGCUAAUUGAAAAAGUUCAUAGAA
rnacentral:snRNA from 1 species